rnacentral:rRNA from 1 species
GACGGAAGGUGCAAGCGUUGCUCGGAAUCACUGGGCGUAAAGGGUGCGUAGGCGGCCGUGCAAGUCUGGCGUGAAAGCCCCGGGCUCAGCCCCGGGAAGUGCGCUCGAAACUGCGCGGCUCGAGUGCCGGAGGGGAGAGUGGAAUUCCUGGUGUAGCGGUGAAAUGCGUAGAGAUCGGCAGGAACACCCAGGGGGAAACCAGCCGACUGGGCAUGCUACUGACGCUGAGGUGCGAGAGCGUGGGGAGCGAACCGG